rnacentral:lncRNA from 1 species
AUAAAUAACGGUCUAUCAACACCCCCCCCCCAAAAAAAGAGACAUUUAUCAGGAGGUAGUUUUUGCCUAAAGAGGUCGCCCACGGCCCCCUUCCUCCCACAGCCCCCACAGCCCCUCAUCUUCUUCAGGCUCCUCCCACGGCCCCCCAUCUUCUCCAGGCUCCUCCCACGCCCCCCCCACCUUCUCCAGGCUCCUUCCAAAGGCUCCUCCCACGGUCCUCCAGUUCCCACAGCUCCACCGCCGGCUGCUCCUACAGCUGCUCCCACCGUUCCAACCACGGGCUCUCCCACGGACUUUCCCACGGGCUUCUUCCAGGGGCUUCCCCCACGUGCGCUUUUCUCGGGCGUCUGCGUAUCGGACGGGGCGCGCGUCCCGCAGAGCACACUGGGAGCGGUAGUUCUGCGCGACAUUCCAUCGCGCAAGCGCUCUCUGCCGAGCCACCCUGCUCUUUGUCCUUCGCUGCCCGGAGGCGUGCUCGCAGGUCGCUGUCUCCUUGGGGCCUCGGUGGCCGGCGCUGGGCUGCGUAUUUCUGCCUCUGGUUGGGCGGCGCGACGAUGUUGGGGGAUCCGGGUGACGAGCCGGCUGAGGGGAGUCUGUCAGGGAGAUACCAGUUCUGUAUAUGGGACUGUGUCGCACCUGUGUCCUGAGUGUAGACAGAACAGAGAAGGCCUUUGCCUACUCCACCCCUCUGUCUUGUGAAUUCGAAGAAGCCUGGAACUGUAGGAUGAAAAUGCAAGUUGCCCCUCCCUUUCAAAGAUGCACGUGAGAGCUGCUAUCACAGGGAGCAAUGUAGUGCUCGCAGGAAACUGCCACGGUGAUAAAAUGAAGCCAAUGAAGUUAAAAUGAGCCACAUUCUGCAGUGAGGGGCUUUAGACUUCUUUUGCUGAGGGGGUAAGUGAGAACAGACUAUCAGAGAGUUAGUUCAGGGAUAACUCCUCCCUCAAGGUCCAACAUUGUAAAUAUUUGUUUCACUUAGUAAAGGCAGGUCUAGAGUCUACAGAGUAACAAAUGUCAGAUCCCUCUCCCCCCAGUACUGGGGGGAUUGAACCCAGAUCCUCAAGUGUUGAAUCUUUUUAUUUGUUAUUUUGAGACAGCAUAUUGCUGAGUUGUCCAGGCUGCCUCAACUUGUGAUCCUCUUGCUUCAGCCUCCUGAGUAGCUGGGAUUACAGGGGUGUGUGACCACACCUAGUUUUAGAAAUAUUUUAAAACUACCCAGAUUGCUUAUCACAUCCCUUUCACCUGAAAUUCUCAAUCUUUGAUAUUCUCUGCAUGAAAUCUAAC